UUGAAUAAGCAAAAGGAUUAGGGUUAGAGGAUUUAGACUCACGUUACUCUCUUCCUCACGUAAAACGCCGUCGGCGGCCGGAGGUCUCUCUUUCAACCUCUCCGAUCACCGAUUCGUACCCUCUCAUCUCGGUACCCUCACGCUUGUCUCAUCUCCCGACUCAAACAAUACAAACACAUAGUCAGCGGUCGGAGACAUGCCGACGGCACUUCAACGGCGUCUGUAACGAAGUGAUUACCAGAAACUCUUCAGGUAACAUUUUGUUUCUUCACUGCAUCGCGAAUCGAUUCCCUCUGUUCUUGAUGUGGUAUUAUGUUGUUUGAGAUUGGUUGUUCUUGCGAUCAAUAUCAGGCGAAGAUGAUGAUGAUGAUUGAAGUUUAUGCGUGAUGAAGAUUAUGAAUCUUGUGUGGUGAAUCGUGAAGAGAAUCCAGAAGAUUGCAGAUCGGGUGGAAUCGUUAGCGUGAAGAAGAUUGAAGUAGAAUGAAGAUCGGUUUUCUGAUUUGGAUUGCACAGAGAUUGAAGGUAAAUUGAGGAACGAAUAUGGAGGUUGGAGAUUGAAUCGGUGAUGGCUUUCUGUUGAAGAUCGAUGAAUGAUGUUAUGGUGAAAGAAGUUUCUGAAUGGAGGGAGAGAGAGAAUUGAAGAUUGAAGAAAGGUUGAAGAAGGUAGAUGAAGAUUCUGGAGAAGGUUGAGGAUUGAAGAGAGGCUUCAUAGAGAGUUUGUUACGUUUCCGAUUUUGUAGGGUCCUAUUUUUGUGUGGCUCCCAUUAUUAGUUUAUCGUGCCGGUUAUAACAUGGAGGAAAGCAAGCCUAAUGAAG